GCGAUGUGUGUGCCGUCGGCCGGGGUACUGCGGAAGGGCCGGGGGUAAUCAGGAUUUGUUGGGUUUAAAGGGAGCGUAGGGCGGAGAUUAAGGGUGUUGGGAAAUGUAGACGCUCAACAGCUGCACUGUAGCGCGAACUGGUUUGCUUGAGUACGAACAAAGUGGGCGGAAUUCGGGGUGUAGCGGUGAAAUGCUUAGAUAUCACGAAGAACUCCGAUUGCGAAGGCAGCUCACUGGAGCGCAACUGACGCUGAAGCUCGAAAGUGCGGGUAUCGAACAGGAUUAGAUACCCUAGUAGUC
rnacentral:rRNA from 1 species